UACAGAGGGGGCAAGCGUUAUUCGGAAUUAUUGGGCGUAAAGGGCUCGUAGGCGGCCAACUAAGUCAGACGUGAAAUCCCUCGGCUUAACCGGGGAACUGCAUCUGAUACUGGAUGGCUUGAGUUCGGGAGAGGGAUGCGGAAUUCCAGGUGUAGCGGUGAAAUGCGUAGAUAUCUGGAGGAACACCGGUGGCGAAGGCGGCAUCCUGGACCGACACUGACGCUGAGGAGCGAAAGCGUGGGGAGCAAACAGG
rnacentral:rRNA from 1 species